CAAACAAAAUUAGAAUCGCCUUGUUACCUGAAGGUUUGCAUAUUUUAAAAUAACUUUUUUUCUAUUUCCAAAAGAAAUACAUGUUCACUUUUUAAAAUAAUGAUUUAGACAAUACAGAGAAGUAACCGUAAGAUAAAUUAAUCCUUCGUCCCACUGGCCAGAAUUAAUUGUUGAUUAGCACUGAUGGCUGCGAACAUUCACUUGGUGCUUACUCUUAUUAAGGAAUUGUCAUGUCUAGGGCUUCCCUGGUGGCACAGUGGUUAAGAAUCCGCCUGCCGCUCUUUUCUCAUCCCCCAUCCUAUGUGUGGUUGAAUUUGCUCCUCGCCGUGUCUUCUCACAAGACUUUCAGGAUCAAGCGAUUCCUGGCCAAGAAACAAAAGCAGAAUCGUCCCAUUCCCCAAUGGAUUCGAAUGAAAACUGGUAAUAAAAUCAGGUACAACUCCAAGAGAAGACAUUGGAGAAGAACCAAGCUGGGUCUAUAAGGAGCUUCACAUAUGAGGUGGCACACAU